UACGAAGGGGGCUAGCGUUGUUCGGAUUUACUGGGCGUAAAGCGCACGUAGGCGGAUCUUUAAGUCAGAGGUGAAAUCCCAAGGCUCAACCUUGGAACUGCCUUUGAUACUGGGGAUCUUGAGUCCGGGAGAGGUGAGUGGAACUGCGAGUGUAGAGGUGAAAUUCGUAGAUAUUCGGAAGAACACCAGUGGCGAAGGCGACUCACUGGACACAUAUUGACGCUGAGGUGCGAAAGCGUGGGGAGCAAACAGG
rnacentral:rRNA from 1 species